rnacentral:rRNA from 1 species
AGAGACAGCAGUAGCCACGGUAAUACGGAGGGAGCUAGCGUCGUUCGGAAUUACUGGGCGUAAAGCGCGCGUAGGCGGUUACUCAAGUCAGAGGUGAAAGCCCGGGGCUCAACCCCGGAACUGCCUUUGAAACUAGGUGACUAGAAUCUUGGAGAGGUCAGUGGAAUUCCGAGUGUAGAGGUGGAAUUCGUAGAUAUUCGGAAGAACACCAGUGGCGAAGGCGACUGACUGGACAAGUAUUGACGCUGAGGUGCGAAAGCGUGGGGAGCAAACAGGAUUAGAUACCCCAGUAGUCCCUGUCUCUUAUAC